AUGCCUAUCAUAGUCGAAGCAGAUUUAAAAUGGAUAAAGGCAGACAUUUUUUCAAGGAUAAGACAACCAAUUUUUUCAAAGACAGAUUUUCAAAGACAAGACAGCCAAUUUUUUCAAGGACAUGUGGAAGCUUGUAGGACAAAAUUUGCAUGGAUUGAAAACGUGACAUCGUAUGCUACAAAAUUUGCAUGGAAUGGAUUGGGAACGUGA